UGGGGAAUAUUGGACAAUGGGCGCAAGCCUGAUCCAGCCAUGCCGCGUGAGUGAUGAAGGCCUUAGGGUUGUAAAGCUCUUUUGUCCGGGACGAUAAUGACGGUACCGGAAGAAUAAGCCCCGGCUAACUUCGUGCCAGCAGCCGCGGUAAUACGAAGGGGGCUAGCGUUGCUCGGAAUCACUGGGCGUAAAGGGCGCGUAGGCGGCCGUUUAAGUCGGGGGUGAAAGCCUGUGGCUCAACCACAGAAUUGCCUUCGAUACUGGACGGCUUGAGUAUGGUAGAGGUUGGUGGAACUGCGAGUGUAGAGGUGAAAUUCGUAGAUAUUCGCAAGAACACCAGUGGCGAAGGCGGCCAACUGGACCAUUACUGACGCUGAGGCGCGAAAGCGUGGGGAGCAAACAGG
rnacentral:rRNA from 1 species